rnacentral:rRNA from 1 species
UACGUAGGCAGCGAGCGUUGUUCGGAGUUACUGGGCGUAAAGGGCUCGUAGGCGCCAACUAAGUCCGACGUGAAAUCCCCAGGCUUAACCUGGGAACUGCGUCGGAUACUGGUUGGCUUGAAUCCGGGAGAGGGAUGCGGAAUUCCAGGUGUAGCGGUGAAAUGCGUAGAUAUCGGGAGGAACACCUGUGGCGAAAGCGGCGCACUGGACCACAACUGACGCUGAGGCGCGAAAGCUAGGGGAGCAAACAGG